AUUCUGGCAGCAACAUGCUACUUCUAUUACAUAGUAAAGUGAAUACCAGAACUACAAAGGCAGGAGGUGUAAGUGAGUUUUUAUUGGGAAGGGAAGUUGUCAACUCAAACAGCAGCAAAUGAAGAGUGAAUAAGGAAACUCCCUGUUGUCACAGAUACACAAGUCCUCCAUCACAUAUAUAUGAUACAGGAGGCAUUUUAAUCUGUGAUCCCCCCAGCCCCAAAAUG